CUAGCCGUAAACGAUGGAUACUAGGCGUUGUGAGUAUCGACCCUCACAGUGUCGUAGCUAACGCGUUAAGUAUCCCGCCUGGGGAGUACGCGCGCAAGCGUGAAACUCAAAGGAACUGACGGGGGCCCGCACAAGCGGUGGAGUAUGUGGUUUAAUUCGAUGCAACGCGAAGAACCUUACCAGGACUUGACAUGUCGCGAAUCUCAGGGAAACUUGAGAGUGCCUUCGGGAGCGCGAACACAGGUGGUGC
rnacentral:rRNA from 1 species